AGGAGUAGACCCGAAACCGGGUGAUCUAUCCAUGUCCAGGUUGAAGCUGCCGUAAGAGGUAGUGGAGGACCGAACCCACAUCCGUUGAAAAGGGUGGGGAUGAGGUGUGGAUAGGGGAGAAAUUCCAAUCGAACCCGGAGAUAGCUGGUUCUCCUCGAAAUAGCUUUAGGGCUAGCCUCGUUUUAGUCUUAUGGAGGUAGAGCACUGAAUUUCCGCGGGGGCGUCAAAGCUUACCAAAGAAUAUCAAACUCCGAAUGCCAUGUAGAUGAUGAACGGGAGUCAGACUGCACGAGAUAAGUUGGGCAGUCAAAAGGGAAAGAGCCCAGACCUGCUGCUAAGGUCCCAAAGUGCGUGUUAAGUGGAAAAGGAUGUGGGAUUUCGAAGACAACUAGGAUGUUGGCUCAGAAGCAGCCAUACAUUCAAAGAGUGCGUAACAGCUCACUAGUCGAGAGUUCCUGCGCCGAAAAUGUCCGGGGCUGAAACACGACACCGAAGCCGUGGACUCGCAAUGCGAGUGGUAGAGGAGCAUUCUUAAAACCGACGAAGCUGUACCGGAAGGAGCAGUGGAGGGAUAAGAAGAGAGAAUGCCGGAAUGAGUAGCGAGAGAGAGGUGGGAAUCCUCUCGGCCGAAUAUCCAAGGUUUCCAGGGUAAAGCUGAUCUGCCCUGGGUAAGUCGGGGCCUAAGGCGAGGACGAGAGUCGUAGCCGAUGGACAACAGGUGGAGAUUCCUGUACUGCGGUAUGACAGAACUGUGGGGACACGUAAGGAAAGCGGAAGCCGGGAAUGGAAAGCCCGGUACAAGCGAGGUACCAGUAUGGUAGGAAAAACCGCCAUGCAAUGGGAAGACGUGAUGUGGAGUGAAAUAUAGUAACGAAGCCCGUGAGCCAUGCGUCAAGAAAAGCCGCUAUUGUUUAUACCGUACCCGUACCGUAAACCGACACAGGUGGAUGAGGAGAGAAUCCUAAGGCCGGCGGAAGAAGCAUUGUUAAGGAACUCGGCAAAAUGACCCCGUAACUUCGGGAGAAGGGGUGCCACAGAAAUGUGGCCGCAGAGAAUAGGCUCAAGCAACUGUUUAGCAAAAACACAGGUCUAUGCAAAACCGUAAGGUGAGGUAUAUGGGCUGACGCCUGCCCGGUGCUGGAAGGUUAAGAGGAGAGGUUAGCGCAAGCGAAGCUUUGAAUUUAAGCCCCAGUAAACGGCGGCCGUAACUAUAACGGUCCUAAGGUAGCGAAAUUCCUUGUCGGGU
rnacentral:rRNA from 1 species